rnacentral:rRNA from 1 species
AGUAGUUGAUCCGUGGCUCAGGACACGCUGGCGGCACGCUUAACACAUGCAAGUCGAACGAGCGAAAGAGUGCUUGCACUCUCUAGCUAGUGGCGGACGGGUGAGUAACACGUGAGCAAUCUGCCUUCGGAGAGGGAUACCAUUUGGAAACGAAUGUUAAUACCUCAUAACAUAACGAAGCCGCAUGACUUUGUUAUCAAACGAAUUUCGCCGAAAGAUGAGCUCGCGUCUGAUUAGGUAGUUGGUGAGGUAACGGCCCACCAAGCCGACGAUCAGUAGCCGGACUGAGAGGUUGAACGGCCACAUUGGGACUGAGACACGGCCCAGACUCC